GACUGGUUGGCUCAGUCAGUAAAGCGUGUGACUCUUAAUCUCAGGGUCAUGUGUUCAAGCCCCAUACUAGGCA
rnacentral:tRNA from 1 species